CGCCCCUUGAAAAGCAUUAAGGCUUAAAGAUAAGGGGUACUGCCUGCCCAGUGACGUAGAGUUAAACGGCCGCGGUAUCUUGACCGUGCAAAGGUAGCAUAAUCAUUUGCCUUUUAAAUGGAGGCUGGAAUGAAUGGCAAGACGGAAAUUUGACUGUCUCUUUCUUAAUAAUCCUGAAAUUAAUAUUCUAGUGAAGAAGCUAGAAUAAGUUCGUGGGACGAGAAGACCCUGUUGAGCUUUAGUGGUAGAAGUAAACAUAAGAUUUUUAUAAGAUGCUAAUUACUGACAACGAAAGAUGUCAGAAAUUAAAUUUACUUAUUAUAAAAAAAUGUUGUAUUGUGAACUGCUUUGGUUGGGGCAACCGCGGAGAAUAAAAAACCUCCGUUUAAGUAAAGUAAUAAAAGUAUUGUUUUUGUUCAGAUACUUUCUGUUAAAGUGAUCCACCAGAAAAGGUGAUCAAAGGAAUAAGUUACCACAGGGAUAACAGCGUAAUUUUUUUGGAGAGUUCAUAUUGAUAAAAAAGUUUGCGACCUCGAUGUUGGAUCGGGAUUUCCAGGAGGUGCAGCAGCUUCCAAGGGUUGGUCUGUUCGACCAUUAAAAUC
rnacentral:rRNA from 1 species